CCUUUCCCCAGCCACCGCGUGGCCGCCCAGGUCCCCGCCGCCCGCGGCCUUGCUGGCGCCUGCCGGCCGCGGACCCUUAGCCCGCGAGGGGUUCCCACCUUACACCCCAGGGUUCCGGCAAGCAGUUUUGGGGGUGGGGGCCGGGUUCUGUCCAGAGCAGGCUCGGGGUCCCGGGGUGAGGGGGAUCUGGGGCCGGCUCUGCGCGGCAGGCGCCAAGAUCCCAGAGGAUGCUGCGCACCCUGAAUUAAUCGAGGAGCCUCUGGUUUUCUCCCAGAACCAGCUAGAAGCCCUGGGACCCCUCUAGGGAUGCGAAUACCACAGAUGGCGGCUGAGUAAAACGCAGUCUCAGGAUGGGAGACACCCCCCCUCCAGCACUGCAGUGUCCCUCACUGGGUGGAGCCCCCCAUGGCACGCCCUCUUCCGUGAAGGUGCUGGCUCAGGCGCCUGCGUGGCCCAGCCAGGCCUCUGCUGCCCCCCUGCGGCCCUGCAGAGAAAGCUGCCCAUCCCCGCCUGGCUGUCCCACUACUCUGUGCAGUGGCUGAAGAUGGACUUCAUCGCCAGGUUCUCUGUCGGACCAUGGUCAUUCCCUAGGUGCUGGCCUAUGCUGAGUUGGCCUGACUCCAGCCCCAGAUGCCGAGCUGCAGGACAUCUCGAAGGUGUGACCGGAUAGUAGGGCCUUCCUCUGAUGGCCAGGCCUGCAGAUGGAGGCUGACUCUCUACGAUCCCCUGCUCAGUCACCAGUGCUGACAAGCUGACCCGGGAGAGGAGCAGCAGGGAGGCGGCCUUGGUCCUUGGCCUCGUGUCUCAUUUCAGCCUCUGGACACUGUGCAAGUUCAGGUCCUUGGAAGCCCAGGCUGAUGCCUGCACGUCCCGGCCUUCACGGUGUCAGACCAGAACCUGCAGCACACACACAGGAACAUCAGUGAAGAGAUCAAGGAUAUACUGCCUUCGCCCCGUCAGUCCACUGAUCGGUUAACCACUCCAUCCAAACCAGGGAGCACCUGUCCUGGGCCUGGGCUUGUGAUGGGCCCUGUGGGAGAGAAUUACAACAAACUCCUCAUGUCCAGUGACUGUCCUGCGCCUGCUACGACCUUCGAAGGAUCCGGGAGCAUGUGCAGGAGGCUGAGAGGAAAUAGUCUCCAUGUUACCAACCCUGGGAGUGCGCUUUAAACCAGGAGUGAACAGAGGACGGGAAGGAAGGUGCGGCAGGACCUGAAGCCCUCUUCCUCAGUCUCCGAAGCAGCAGGUGUAGCCCGAUGCUCCGGGAACCCUCUCCCAUUGGCCCCAGCCUGAGUGAUGUUCCCACCUGGAGGGUCCUCACCCUCACCACUGGAGUCACCCCUCCUGUCGGCAAUCCAACCUCUAGAGACACAAACAUCCACAAGAAAGUGAUGAGAGAGAGGGGCUCACCCAGCCCUCCUGCUUCAGGUGAGGCCCUGCUGGCUCAUGCAGCAUCACCCUGCGCACUGCUCUGGGCUCUAGACCUCCCAUGGGCUCUGUGCAGACAGAGCCCUUCAAGGAGACAUUGGUCACAGGUGCAAACCCUCAAAUGAGAGAGAGGACACACCCCCAACUCGUGUCCUCAGUCCCCCGGGUCAUGACAGCUCAGGUCCCCAUGUGAUAAACCUGAACGUCCAGCUGUGAGGCACACGCUGUGGGUUAAAUGAGCUCAGUGAACAGACCCUGGGCCAGGCUCAGAGAGCUGCCCAAGAGAAUGUUCCGUGAGGAUGGAAAUGUUCUGUGUUGUAGCCGUGCGGCUGCUGGGCACUUGAAAUGCGGCUGUGACGAGGAACCAACGCUUCAUUUGAUGUCCUCGAAUAGGUUAAACACGAGCACGCACGUCCCCCUGGAGGCGACCACACUGGAUAGCGUGGCUCUGGAAUCUGCAGACGAAGACCGUACCACCUCCCUCCCCUCCCCGCUCCUGCAGAGCAGUUUGUGGCCCGAUCUGACCAUUCACUUGUAGGUUCUUCCUGGACACGUGCACAAGGGCCAGGCACCACCUGAGGCCCUGGGGACACUCAAACGGUAAGGUCAACACCAGGUCCCAGAGGAGUCCCAGCAGGGGCCACCUGUAAGCAAAGGGGCAGAGUGAGGCCAGGCCCACCUGUGCUGGACAGAAUCAGACAGCGGGGUCAUGGGGAGGGAGGGACACUGCACUGUCUUCAGGAGCCCCCUUCUCCCCCCUGCUCUGGAUUAGGGCCUGGGCAGGCACCUGGCUCAGUGUUGGGGCCCUACAGGCCUGGACCAGCUGAGGGGAACCAUUUCCACACCUGGACCAGAUCCCAGCCCAGGGCUGUAGUCAUCAGAUGUUUACUGGGGCCUGAGAGGGGUUGUCCAGAGCUGAGCACUGGGGUGAGGAGGGAUGAGGAAGACACAGGGUGCCUGUGCAGCGACCACCAUGGCCAGGGCUCCUGUCCCCACGAGUAAGAGGACACAGAUAGAGUCCGGGCCUGAGAAUUCCAAGACCUUCCAGAGAAACUCUCACUGAUGACCUCCAGGCCAUGAAAGGGAGCAGCAAGGACCACUUCGACCUCAGAUCAGCCCCCAUCUCUUUGCUGAGCUCACCCUGCACUGGAGCCCAUGCCCCUCUCACCUCCUCUGCUACUAGAAUGUUCUGCAGCAGCCCUGGCCACGUGGUGUGAGAUCUCUUCAGUUUAAAUGUGUUUCUGGGCUAGACAACGCUUGGCCAACAGUGUGUAGACAAGGUCUGGUUGACAGGUGACUUCCAGAAGCAGGUGAAAAACAGAAACUGGUCCCUCCUGGCUCCAGGAGAACAGGCCUGGGAGCCUCCUUGUGUCUGGCCCCAUCAUGUGUCUGUCCCUGCUGACCCAGCGCCUGGCCAGUCCCAGCUGGAACCCAGAAUCAGGCCGCUCUCCACUCUAAAGCCAGUGUGUUUUUUCCUCAGCAAGUGAGUGAUUCCAGAACACACCCCACUUUUUUGUUUGCUUGUUCCUGAGGCCACCUGCGAUGAGAGAGGAGAAAACGCUGGGAAUGAGAUGACGAUGGUGUUGUCUGCACAGCUCUUCAGUUCUCUUGGUGAUGUUGGGAAACCACCUGGGAGACCAGGGUAGAGUCAAAGGCCCAAAAGCAAGAGCAGAGGACGCCUGUGGGAAAGGCAGGAGCUUCUCGCAGAGGGGGUGUCUCCAGUCCCUUCUGGUUGGCCAUGGCAAAGUCCUUAACCCAAGGAGGAAAACUGCUCCUGAGCGAAAGGCUCAUACAGCUGAUAACUGACGCUGUCAUUCGGAGAUGUCCUUGUGGACCAGGCGUCAGCUAGUGAGAGACUCGCUCAGCAGCCCCCCCAUGGACAUUGUAGGUGUGAUCCCUAACGUACACCGUCAGGCUUUCACACGUGCAUUUGAAAAGGAAAGAAACCAAGAACCAGCAUUUCUGUCAGACACAGAAAGCGACCUUACCUUGGCAACAGAUGGCGCCUCUUGCUCUGCCCUGUCGCGGGGAAGCUCCUCCAGCAGGCCCUCAGGGGUGCGGGAGGAGACAGGCACUGCCAGUCGGGGGUGGUCAGCUCAGGAGUUACGCAGGGAGCUCUGCAGGACGUGGACGCAGGGCUGAUGCGUAUGGAGGGGGUCGGUCAUCAAGCACAGACUGAGCUGCUGCUGGGCCGUCCUCCUUGGUGGAUGAAGGAGGGGAAAGGAGGGGAGCAGGAAAGAAAUGGGAAAUAGAGUCCUUGGCUUAAUAGCCAAAGGUAACGUACAGCAACGAGAAUGAGUCAGUCUACGCCGGGUUCUCAGCCACACGCUGUGAUCCAGUGGCAGAGUCCCAUCGCCCCUCCCGCCUGUGGUGAUCUUCUUGACCUCUCCCCAGACCACUUCAGUCUCCACGGAUCUGCUGCUGCUGCUUUUAUCAUCUGUUGUGUGGGGUUUCACACUUGAUUAAAAGCAAACUUUUAUUGGUGGAAUAGAUUUAAUUACAGGGAACACCUUCUGUUGUACUUGUUCACUCAUCCUUUGUCAUAAAGAUAAUCAAAUAUGGAAGACAUUUGAUGAAAAUACUGAAAUACUGCCAUUUAAAAUAAGCUUUAUUAGUCAUAUGCUA